rnacentral:rRNA from 1 species
UGGGGAAUUUUGGACAAUGGGGGAAACCCUGAUCCAGCCAUCCCGCGUGUGCGAUGAAGGCCUUCGGGUUGUAAAGCACUUUUGGCAGGAAAGAAACGUCAUGGGUUAAUACCCCGUGAAACUGACGGUACCUGCAGAAUAAGCACCGGCUAACUACGUGCCAGCAGCCGCGGUAAUACGUAGGGUGCAAGCGUUAAUCGGAAUUACUGGGCGUAAAGCGUGCGCAGGCGGUUCGGAAAGAAAGAUGUGAAAUCCCAGAGCUCAACUUUGGAACUGAAUUUUUAACUACCGGGCUAGAGUGUGUCAGAGGGAGGUGGAAUUCCGCGUGUAGCAGUGAAAUGCGUAGAUAUGCGGAGGAACACCGAUGGCGAAGGCAGCCUCCUGGGAUAACACUGACGCUCAUGCACGAAAGCGUGGGAAGCAAACAGG